GGACGAAAUAAAUUAAGAUCCACUAAGUACAACAAAUUACUCUGUCGAAUCGAAGUGGGACACGAAUCUGCCUUACAAGGUUCAAUAUAUCAAUUGCGCAAACGUCAGUGAAGAAAUCAUUCAAGCGAGUUUUAAGAAGAAAGUUGGAGGACUAAAGGGAAACAAAAAUAAUGCAACGAAAAUUCCAGAAUCAAAGAAUGAGCCUAAGGGGAUAAAAGGGAUAUACAAAUGCGAAAAAUGUCCACGAACGUAUGCUUGGAGACGUAAUUUACUCAGACAUGAGCAUAUCGAACACGACGAACUUUCCUUUUCCAAAUUCAUUUGCGAUUUUUGCGGUUACGUGGCCAAAGAGAAAAGCCAUCUACUUCGUCACAUAAGUUCUAGACAUUUAAAAAUUUUUCCUGGAAAGCCAGAAGCGAGAUAUGUAUGCGACACAUGUGGAAACAGUUAUGUCCAUAAACACACUUUGCUGAGACAUAAGCAAUAUGUGUGUAAUCAGAAGCCACAUUCGUCAUUCAUGUAAUCGCUGGAUUCUAAAAGGGAUUUUUUAUUCGUUCCUUAUUCCAGUUAUUAUAUUUCAAGAGUAAUCUUCUGGAUAGGCUGUAAUGCGAAGUUGAAAAUGUUUUCAUUUCCAAUUUAUUAAAGAUGACAAUAACAUAAUUGAGGACAACGAUCAAAGAACCGGAAACUUUCUGGCGCUCAGAGUGAAAAGGCCCCUCUUCGCUUGAAUUUAAGUGCCCCCCCCUCUCUCUCUAAGCACCAGAAUGUUAUAAUCGAUUCUAUGAUUCGGUUUCUCAAUGAAGGGAAUUUGAUUGUCUAAUUGAAUAAAUGAUUAUAAUUUAGUAAAUAAACUAGCCAAUUCGGAUUGUUCUACACAUAUUACAUGUAGUUUAAAGAAAAUAAAACAACAAUUCAAGUUUAAUGUUUAAGAUAAAGAUUAUUAAAAUAACAUAUAUAUGUAUAUACGUCAAUAAUAUUCGAAAUAAUAUAAAAUAUUCUUAUGGUGUUUCUAGGCUUAGGGACCGUCCAUAAACUCUAUUAACAAUUUGAAGGGGGGGGGGGUUGUAACGUUAAGAAUUUAGAUAAAGUUUAUUAAAUAUCCUGAUGGUUAUAUAAUAACUUGUUUGAAACUCAUUUUUAUAUUUUAGACUUGAUACAAUCUAUUAUUAUAUUUUUAGUUUGAAAUUUAUAUGGUUUGGUUAAAAGUUCUA